CCCGCUGAACUUAAGCAUAUCAGUAAGCGGAGGAAAAGAAACUAACGAGGAUUCCCCCAGUAACGGCGAGUGAAGCGGGAACAGCCCAUGACGAAAGCUGGCUUUGCAAGGCAGCGGAUGUGUCGUGGAGCGGCAGGCAGACGGGCACGUAGCACGGCAUCGACCCUGGAAAGGGCGGGCACAGAGGGUGAGACCCCCGUGGGCGUGCGUAUGUGCUCGGCAGGCGGCCGCAGCGAGUCGGAUUGUUUGGGCAUGCAAUCCCAAGCAGGUGGUACGCGCCAUCUAAGGCUAAACAGGGGCAAGAGACCGAUAGCGAACAAGUACCGUGAGGGAAAGAUGAAAAGGACUCUGAAGAGAGAGUCAAAAGUGCGUGAAAUUGCGAAGAGGGAAACGAAGGGUGGGUGGGGAGAGAUCCAGGUGAGGCGAGCAGAGAUGUGAUAUAGCAUGAAGGGGCGUAGUUUGCAGUCUCGACUGUUUACACGUACAGCCUUGGUGUGAAACAUCUGUGCGCACUCUCACACCACAUCACUCACUCUUCGACCCGUCUUGAAACACGG
rnacentral:rRNA from 1 species